rnacentral:rRNA from 1 species
UACGGGGGGAGCAAGCGCUGUUCGGAUUUACUGGGCGUAAAGGGCGCGUAGGCGGUCAGCACAAGUCAGUUGUGAAGUCUCCGAGCUUAACUCGGAAAGGUCAACUGAUACUGUGCGACUAGAGUGCGGAAGGGGCAACUGGAAUUCUUGGUGUAGCGGUGAAAUGCGUAGAUAUCAAGAGGAACACCUGCGGCGAAGGCGGGUUGCUGGGCCGACACUGACGCUGAUGCGCGAAAGCCAGGGGAGCGAACGGG